UCUAGAGACCUUUGUAAGACAUAUUAAGGGACUGUAAUAAGAUGUUGCCAGGAUUAGCCCAUUUCUCCCCUUUGUUCUUAUUGUUAUUGUAAAGGCGAAUUGGGUAUUCUACAGAACAGGAAAUGAGAACUUGAGGAGAUAACUUUUUGGAAUUAUUUUUUGAAAGUGAAUCACUGUUGGAAUUCUGUGACAUUUGCUCCUCUACCCAAUGGAGAAAGGAAUGUACCACAAGGAAAGGCCUUGGAAGAUUAUGGGAAAAGAAGAGGACACAGAAUUUGUAAAUGUCUGGGAGUUGGAAAAAGCCUAGUAUAUUUUAAGAAGGGAAAGAAGGUCAAGACAAUAUGAUUCAGAUUCUUGUGAUUUUCAUCAAUUAAAGAUUACAGAUGUGAAUUCUGAGGAACUCCAUAUAACUCUAACUUUUCUUCUACCAGUUUUUAUUGUUUUUUUCUUCCUUUUGUAUAGUUUAUAGAAUACUAACCUAUAGAAAACUUUGUGUGAUAUGACUUUAUCUGAGGCA
rnacentral:lncRNA from 1 species